rnacentral:lncRNA from 1 species
CAAAUAAAAUUGGAAACACUCUGUUCUAAAUCAAUUCAGAAAGUGUUCAUUGAUUGGAAGUGAUAUGCUUUAUAUGUCACAAUCAAGAAUGAAUGUUGAAAGACCUAAAUGAAUAACAUAUAACAAGUUUUUAAUUUAAUAUCUCAGAUGUAAUACAAAACAGCAUUUGUCCAGGGAGACUAAUAUGAUAACAGUAUCAACCUAGAUAGAUAACAAGAUGAGAGAGAGCAAAAGAAACAAAUAUGAUGAUGCCAGGUCACGAUCUCCCAUAGAGACCAGCAGAGUGCACCUAAUCCUGCUGGUUGGGUUUAGUGUUGACACACACUUGCAUCAUGUUCAUGACUCCUACAAUGACCAGAUGGAUGCAUUUGACUUUACCAGACAUAUUAGGAAAUUAUAUUUCCAGAUAUGUCUGAUAAGGUCGGAUGCAUCCAGCUGAUCACUGUAUUUUUACAAAUUAUUGCUUUUUUUUUUCAUUCCAGUAAAACACAAUAUUCACCAGCAUGCAUAUGCUUGUGUGAAUAGCAAUAUGGCACUAUGGUAAACAUAGUACUGCUAAUGUUCUUUGCUCUUCUAAGUGCUAUAAGAUGGAUA